rnacentral:rRNA from 1 species
UACGGAGGGUGCGAGCGUUAAUCGGAAUUACUGGGCGUAAAGCGCACGUAGGUGGCUGUUUAAGUCGGGUGUGAAAUCCCUGGGCUCAACCUGGGAAUUGCAUUUGAUACUGAGCGGCUAGAGUACGGUAGAGGGAGGUAGAAUUCCUAGUGUAGCGGUGAAAUGCGUAGAUAUUAGGAGGAAUACCGGUGGCGAAGGCGGCCUCCUGGACUGAUACUGACACUGAGGUGCGAAAGCGUGGGGAGCAAACAGG